AACGAACGCUGGCGGCAGGCUUAACACAUGCAAGUCGAACGCACCGCAAGGUGAGUGGCAGACGGGUGAGUAACGCGUGGGAACAUACCCUUUGGUUCGGAAUAGCUCCGGGAAACUGGAAUUAAUACCGGAUAAGCCCUACGGGGGAAAGAUUUAUCGCCAAAGGAUUGGCCCGCGUUGGAUUAGCUAGUUGGUGGGGUAAUGGCCUACCAAGGCGACGAUCCAUAGCUGGUCUGAGAGGAUGAUCAGCCACACUGGGACUGAGACACGGCCCAGACUCCUACGGGAGGCAGCAGUGGGGAAUAUUGGACAAUGGGCGAAAGCCUGAUCCAGCCAUGCCGCGUGAGUGAUGAAGGCCUUAGGGUUGUAAAGCUCUUUCAGUGGGGAAGAUAAUGACGGUACCCACGGAAGAAGCCCCGGCUAACUUCGUGCCAGCAGCCGCCGUAACAC
rnacentral:rRNA from 1 species